UGAGAAAAGGUCUUACAUAGGCCAUACUG
rnacentral:piRNA from 1 species